rnacentral:rRNA from 1 species
CAAUAGCGUAUAUUAAAAUUGUUGCGGUUAAAAGCUCGUAGUUGGAUUUCUGUAUGAAAGCACCGGUCCGCAUUUUGUGUGUGUAUCUGGUAGAACUUGUGCAUCCUCUUAUUUUCAAAUCUGCGCUUCAUUGCAUGGUUUUGUGGAUAAGACUUUUACUUUGAGGAAAUUAGACUGUUCACGGCAGGCAAGCGCCCUGAAUAUGUUAGCAUGGAAUAAUAAUAAUAAUAAUAUAAGACUUCGGUUUUAUUUUGUUGGUUUCUAAAGCUGAAGUAAUGAUUAAUAGGAACAGUUGGGGACACUUGUAUUAACUCGCUAGAGGUGGAAUUCUUGCAUUGAGUUACGACAAACUACUGCGAAAGCAUUUGUCAAGGAUGUUUUCAUUGAUCAAAAACGAAAGUGAGGGGAUCGAAGACGAUUAGAUACCGU